UUUAUGUAUUGUUUAUCAACAUGAUGCAUUGCAAGUUUGCUCCUGCACAUGAUUUGCUUCUUGUUUACAUUCAUUUGACAGUUAUCUUGAGGAAAAAAUUAUUUGACUUUUAUAUUAAUGUUAUUGCAUUUUCUUUACAGGCAUGAUAGGGAUUGUAGAUUACACAAACUAUGAUGAUAUGAAAUAUGUUCUAUCUUAACUUGGAAGAUAAGGAAGCUUGAUGACUCUGAGUUUCGAAAUCCAUUUAGCCAGGCUUACAUGCGGGUAUGUUUAGAUGCAUUUUAAGUCUUAGAUCUAUGCUUCUGCGACAUUACUUGAUAGCGUAUCUAACUGUCUUUUUUUUCAGGUGGAGUAUGAUUCAAGAUAUGAUUCUAGGCGCAGCUACUUUAGAAGUCCUAGUCGUAGCCCAUAUAGUCGAAACCCUAAUCUAGAAUUGAAUCUAUCAAUCCUUUUUCAACAGUUAAUUCUGCCCAUUUGCAAACAUAUUCUAUCAUUGUAACAUGCUUACGCAUAUCUGCUGGCUGGUUUAUUUUAUCUCAGCUGUAUUUAGAUAACUUGAUUCCCUUAAAUUAUAAUAGGGUGAAACUAUGGAGAUGAGUCUUGCGAGACUGGUUCCCUUGACGAAGAAAUCGAACUAGUAAAGCAAUGCGGGGGAAUCGAAAGGGUAGAAGAGUUGGAAAAAGAGAAGGCUGAUAUUGCAAUCAAGAGUCUCCAAGGUCUUCCUCAAAGCGGUUUCCAGUUAGGGCUUAAAGAUAUGGUGAUGUUUAAUCUAGAAAGGAUUGAUUAGUUUAACUAAUCCAAAAUAAGCAGCAUGAUACAUGACAGAUAAACAUGCCAUGAAGUUGAAGCCUGUACUAAUAUAGAACAACUUUCUUAGGAUAUUAAUUGGUUCCUUGUCUCUGGUUGUAUAUUCAUACAAGGCUUUGAGCUUUGACUUGAGCUCCUAGUUUCAAUGUCUUCAAAUUGUACAUUUGUCUGAGAAAAAAUAAUUUCUCUGUUAAAUUAAAUUGAUGAACAAUAAAAUUUUUGUGGUCAUCAAUAUUAAGCUAAUAAACUUCCAUUAUGCAUACAAGGAAAACCUAUGUUAUAGGGGUUUCCCUUUUUCUUCUUAAAGUUUUUCUUCUUAAAGUAUUUGUGUUUGAUGUUUAUCUGAAAAAGUGUGAAUAGACUUUGGUUGUUUUCAAUUUAUGAUGUUAAUAUUCUAGCUUAAUAAUUGAGUAUUAUUAUAUAUUUAAUUUGAUUUAUUUAUUUAUAAACAAAUCAUUGUAAUAUAUGUAAAAUAAUUUAAAAUAUAAAUUUAUUAAUAUAUAUAAAUUUAUUAAUAUAUGUAAAGCCAAUUUUUUCGAAAAAUAUUUUCGAAAAUCACCAAACAAUAGAAAAUAUUUUACACAGAUUCAUCCAAACACCAGAAAAGUAAAUCAUUUCCAGAAAAGUAAAUCAUUUUUCAGAAAUCAUUUUUCGGAAAACAUUUUACUGCAAACAAACAGAGCCUUAAUUCAUAACCGCAAAUAAAAACAUCUCAAAGUUAGUAUAACCAUAAGAAAUAAGAAACUUAUAAAAACUUCAAAGAAAAUAAAAGGAGAUAUUCAAUCUUUGUAACACCCCUUACCCGUAUUCAACUCCGGAAUAGGGUAUGAGGCAUUACUAGAACACUUACACAUGUAAACGUAUUAAACUGAGUUACAAAAUUUCAUUCAAAUUUAAACUCUUCAAAUUUUUAACAUGCUUUUAUAAUUCUUUAUAACAUAUCCUCAAAAUAUUAUAUUCAUAACAA